AUGGCAGCGAUCAUGGCGGCGCGCGGGCAGGGUCUGGAGCAAGAUUUCGAUUUCUUCGUGGUGGUCGACUUCGAGGCGACCUGCGUCAAAGACGCGCGGAUCUUCCCGCAGGAAAUCAUCGAGUUCCCCGCGGUGCUCGUCGACGGCGCCACCGGCCGCAUCGUGUCCGCGUUUCGCAGGUACGUUCGUCCUAAGCAUCACCCUGUGCUGACCCAAUUUUGCAGGGAGCUCACCGGCAUCCGGCAGGAGGACGUCGACGGCGGCGUGGAACUCGGCGAGGCGCUCUGGCUACACGACGCUUGGCUGAAGGCGGCAAUGGCGGGAGCAGGGAACAAGAGAGGUGUUCGCUUGGCCGUGGUGACCUGGGGGGACUGGGACUGCCGGACCAUGCUCGAGUUCGAGUGCCGCUUCAAGGGCAUCGAGAAGCCCUCCUACUUCGAUCGCUGGAUCAACCUGAGGGUCCCCUUCCAGGCGGCGCUCGACGGCGGAGGGCGGGUCAACCUGCAGGAGGCGGUCCGGGCGGCGGGGCUGGACUGGGAGGGCCGCCUGCACUGCGGGCUGGACGAUGCGCUCAACACGGCGCGGCUGCUUGCUGAGAUCAUGCGGCGCCGGGCCAAGAUCACCAUCACCGGCUCGCUGGCGCCGCCGCCGCCGCCGCCGAUCCAGCAGAAGCAGCAGCCUGGCGCAAGCCCUUGUGGUGGCUCAUCGGUGCUGGCGCCGCCACCGAUCCAGCAGCAGCCGCCUCGCACAGGCCCUUGCAGUGACACAUUUGCGCUGGUGCCGGCGCAGGCGCCGAACCAGCAGAAGCAGCAGCCGCCGCCACCGCAGCCUCACAUAAUCAGCCCCUGCGGUGGCUCCUCCGCGACAUGCUUCUCAUACUGCGGGGUGGCGACCAGAGGAGCCAUGGAGCCAGGGCCGAUGCGGUCUGGAUGCGCCAACUGGACGCCGGCCAUGGGACCUUACUUCCUGUGGAGCAACUGA
rnacentral:rRNA from 1 species